AACGAACGCUGGCGGCGUGCCUAACACAUGCAAGUCGAACGAGAAAGGGGCUUCGGCUCCGAGUAAAGUGGCGCACGGGUGAGUAACACGUGGGUAACCUGCCUCUAAGAUUGGGAUAACUCGUCGAAAGAUGAGCUAAUACCGAAUAAGACCACAGUUCCCGCGGGAACAGGGGUCAAAGGUAGCCUCUGCUUGCAAGCUAUCACUUAGAGAUGGGCCUGCGCACCAUUAGCUAGUUGGUAGGGUAACGGCCUACCAAGGCAAAGAUGGUUAGCUGGUCUGAGAGGAUGAUCAGCCACACUGGAACUGAGACACGGUCCAGACUCCUACGGGAGGCAGCAGGGGGGAAUAUUGCGCAAUGGGCGAAAGCUUGACGCAGCAACGCCGCGGGAGGGAUGAAGGCCUUCGGGUCGUAAAGCUCUGUCGGGAGGAACGAAUGCUCCUGAGGUUAACAGCCUCGGGAGGUGACGGUACCUUCAAAGGAAGCACCGGCUAACUCUGUG
rnacentral:rRNA from 1 species